rnacentral:rRNA from 1 species
CAGCAGCGCGGUAAUACGAAGGGGGCUAGCGUUGUUCGGAUUUACUGGGCGUAAAGCGCACGUAGGCGGAUCGAUCAGUCAGAGGUGAAAUCCCAGAGCUCAACUCUGGAACUGCCUUUGAUACUGUCGAUCUGGAGUAUGGAAGAGGUGAGUGGAAUUCCGAGUGUAGAGGUGAAAUUCGUAGAUAUUCGGAGGAACACCAGUGGCGAAGGCGGCUCACUGGUCCAUUACUGACGCUGAGGUGCGAAAGCGUGGGGAGCAAACAGGAUUAGAUACCCGUGUAGUCCCUGUCUCUUAUACC